ACUCCUACGGGAGGCAGCAGUGGGGAAUUUUGGACAAUGGGCGAAAGCCUGAUCCAGCAAUGCCGCGUGAGUGAAGAAGGCCUUCGGGUUGUAAAGCUCUUUUGUCAGGGAAGAAACGGUGAGAGCUAAUAUCUUUUGCUAAUGACGGUACCUGAAGAAUAAGCACCGGCUAACUACGUGCCAGCAGCCGCGGUAAUACGUAGGGUGCAAGCGUUAAUCGGAAUUACUGGGCGUAAAGCGUGCGCAGGCGGUUUUGUAAGUCUGAUGUGAAAUCCCCGGGCUCAACCUGGGAAUUGCAUUGGAGACUGCAAGGCUAGAAUCUGGCAGAGGGGGGUAGAAUUCCACGUGUAGCAGUGAAAUGCGUAGAUAUGUGGAGGAACACCGAUGGCGAAGGCAGCCCCCUGGGUCAAGAUUGACGCUCAUGCACGAAAGCGUGGGGAGCAAACAGGAUUAGAAACCCCUGUAGUCC
rnacentral:rRNA from 1 species